ACUCCUACGGGAGGCAGCAGUGGGGAAUAUUGCACAAUGGGCGCAAGCCUGAUGCAGCCAUGCCGCGUGUAUGAAGAAGGCCUUCGGGUUGUAAAGUACUUUCAGCAGUGAGGAAGGUGGGUAUGUUAAUAGCAUAUUCAUUUGACGUUAGCUGCAGAAGAAGCACCGGCUAACUCCGUGCCAGCAGCCGCGGUAAUACGGAGGGUGCGAGCGUUAAUCGGAAUUACUGGGCGUAAAGCGCAUGCAGGUGGUUUGUUAAGUCAGAUGUGAAAGCCCGGGGCUCAACCUCGGAAUUGCAUUUGAAACUGGCAAACUAGAGUACUGUAGAGGGGGGUAGAAUUUCAGGUGUAGCGGUGAAAUGCGUAGAGAUCUGAAGGAUACCGGUGGCGAAGGCGGCCCCCUGGACAGAUACUGACACUCAGAUGCGAAAGCGUGGGGAGCAAACAGGAUUAGAUAACCCUGGUAGGCUCUGC
rnacentral:rRNA from 1 species